rnacentral:rRNA from 1 species
ACGAACGCUGGCGGCGUCCUUAACACAUGCAAGUCGAACGGAAAGGCCCUGCUUUUGUGGGGUGCUCGAGUGGCGAACGGGUGAGUAACACGUGAGUAACCUGCCCUUGACUUUGGGAUAACUUCAGGAAACUGGGGCUAAUACCGGAUAGGAGCUCCUGCUGCAUGGUGGGGGUUGGAAAGUUUCGGCGGUUGGGGAUGGACUCGCGGCUUAUCAGCUUGUUGGUGGGGUAGUGGCUUACCAAGGCUUUGACGGGUAGCCGGCCUGAGAGGGUGACCGGCCACAUUGGGACUGAGAUACGGCCCAGACUCCUACGGGAGGCAGCAGUGGGGAAUAUUGCACAAUGGGCGGAAGCCUGAUGCAGCAACGCCGCGUGCGGGAUGACGGCCUUCGGGUUGUAAACCGCUUUCGCCUGUGACGAAGCGUGAGUGACGGUAAUGGGUAAAGAAGCACCGGCUAACUACGUG